rnacentral:rRNA from 1 species
UACGAAGGGGGCUAGCGUUGCUCGGAAUCACUGGGCGUAAAGCGCACGUAGGCGGAUUGCUAAGUCAGGGGUGAAAUCCUGGAGCUCAACUCCAGAACUGCCUUUGAUACUGGCGACCUUGAGUCCGGGAGAGGUGAGUGGAACUGCGAGUGUAGAGGUGAAAAUUCGUAGAUAUUCGCAAGAACACCAGUGGCGAAGGCGGCUCACUGGCCCGGUACUGACGCUGAGGUGCGAAAGCGUGGGAGCAACAGG